rnacentral:rRNA from 1 species
UACGUAGGGAGCGAGCGUUAUCCGGAAUUAUUGGGCGUAAAGCGUGCGUAGGCGGCGUGUUAAGUCGAAUGUGAAAGCCCACAGCUUAACUGUGGAGGGUCAUUCGAAACUGGCAUGCUAGAGUACGGCAGAGGUUAGUGGAAUUCAAUGUGUAGCGGUAAAAUGCGUAGAUAUAUUGAGGAACACCGAUGGCGAAGGCAGCUAACUGGACCGGAACUGACGCUGAGGCACGAAAGCGUGGGGAGCAAAC